UUUUGUAGACAUUGGGGGGUCGUGAAGACUCUAUCAGUUAGUAUUUGUUCUCGAAAGGGCUUUGAUUAAUAUUGAAGAAUCGGACAUAGUACGCUAAGGUUGUAUGUCUAAAGGGAAACAGCCCAGAACAAGUGUUAAUAAGGUUCCAAAAUUAUUAUUAAGUGAAAUAAAGGUAGUUUAUGUCUUAAACGUCCAGGAAAUAGGCUUAGAAGCGGCCAUUUUUUAAAGAUCUCGUAACAGAGCACUGGUUUAUUCUAAUUUAGAUCUAAUUUAUAUCUAAGUUAGAUCGGCAAAAGCACCGACGAUUCCACGGAUCUAAAUAAUAUACCGAAACCUUGUCCAUGUAUAUUUAUAUAUACUUAAUAUCAGAUAAUAGUUGUGUUAUAUUUAUAAGUUAUAUAUUAUAUAAUGGGGUAGCGGAACAUUGGGCAAACCAUACCUUUUUUUUAUAAAAAAUUUUAGGUACCCCAAGUGAGAAUGCUGACAUGAGUAACGAUAAAGGGAUUAUCCCUCGCCUAAAGCUUAUGGAAUUUAGUUAAAGUAACGGCCUCUAAGUUUAUUAAUAAAAAAUUAAAAAACACUACUUUAGUGUAUUUUGAUUACCCUAAGGGACUAAACGAUGAGCAAAGCUAUAAAAAUACAAAUAAAUAACAUUUCUAAACAGUUUGAGGGAAGUGCUAAAAAAUUACGUUAGAUUUAUAAAAUUUUUGGGUAACCUAAGAAAAUUGUGUUAAAUUUAGAAAAUUUUUUAGAUAAAUACCGAAUAAUUGUGUUAAAGUGAGAAAUGUUCUGGAAAAUAGUAUUUAAUACAAAGUUUAUUUAUAUGAGUAGUUAGAAGAAAAUAUCUAGAUUUUAAAUAUACCGUACCUAAAAACUACCACAAGUAAGCAAGUAGAG
rnacentral:rRNA from 1 species